rnacentral:lncRNA from 1 species
UUUUCUGGUACUCACGAAAUUACACCAUCUCAAUCUCUCUUUCUUUUCUCUCUGAUUUUAUCUGAGCCUUAUCCAAUUGAGGAUUUGGGAGUACCACCCGAAUACUUCGAUUUGAAAGAGAUUAUCACGAUUCUCAUAUUUCCAUGUGCCACUAAACCAUAUUUCUAACAUAAUAUUCUCCUAGCAAAAUGAAGAAUCAUAUUUGAUUUCAAAGUAAUAAAUUUAACAAAAUAAAACUAAAAAUAUCAAAGUCAAAUUUGAUGGGUGGGUUGUUUUCUUGGCUUUAUGAUUUUGUUAUACAUCCUGCCAAUUUAUUGUUUUUUGACCUCACUUUCUUAAUGAUCCCUCUAAAUCUCUUUUUUCAUCUCCUCAUGGAUUUGUUAACCAGUACCCUACAAAGAAACAAUUACCAAGUUUAUAACUAAUUAAACAUCAAGUAAUAUCAUUUAGUUAAUAGCAACAUACUUUCAUCAAAGGAAAUAUGAAUUGAACUUUAUUGAGAUGUUGAUUAGAAAUGGCAAACUUGGUGAACCUAAAUCAAGAGAAACAGAAUGUAAACUUAAACUGCCAAAAUGAUGAAAGGCAUAAAGUACCCUAUUUUUUGUACAUAUAUUAUUUUCUUCUAUCUCUUGUAUUAUCAGUAUCAUAUGUGAAUGAAAAGGAAUGUGAAGUAUGUAACUUGUUUACUAUACCUAGAUAAGGUUUAUAUGUGACGAUGCAUAAAGAGAAUCAAGACUAACAAAACAUCAACAUAGAGUCGCAAUUUGACCUUUGUAUUUGUAGUUUUUUCUAGGGUUUCUAAACAUGGUUGUAGUACACAUACCAAGCAAUAAAUAAAUCCAACCCUUUAUUAAAAAUCAAGAAUGAUAUCAACAUAGAGUCAUAAUCUGACCUCUUUAUCUGCACUUUUUAUAGGGGUUUCGACAAUGGCUGCAAUAUACAAAUUCAACCCUUUAUUAAAAAUCAAAACUUUCAAAAUGAAAACCUGGAUGCGAUCAUGUGAUGAAGAACCUUAAUGGUUGGAAUCGAUGAUGUUGGAACACAGAUCUCCUUCGGUUUUUGUUCAUAACCUAAACAAAGAAAAAAGAAAGCUAAGUAGAGAAAUGGAGCACAUGAAUCAAAUAUGAUAGGAAGGAGAAACCAGAAGUGCACCCUUUGAAUCUCCCGAUAUUGUGGAUGGGAGUGGGCGGAAUCGACAAUUUUAGGGGUGGGGGCGGCCGGAAUCUAACUCGAAAGAAAGGAAAAAACCUGCGAUGUUGAAUGGUGAUGGUAGCCGACUGAAUUUAGGUUAUGAGAGUGGUAUCAAAAAGGGUCUCAAUUCGAGUGGAAUUUGGGGGAAUGAAAUGAAAUAAGAUAAGAGGGGGAAAAGAUGGAUUCGGUUCUUAAUUACUGUAUACAUAUAGUUCUCGAGUUCCCAUUGGCUACACAGUGUC